AUAGUACAUCUCUAGGAAAGAAAAGCCACAGGAGAGAGAAACGAGAGUGAGCCAAGAAUACAGGAUAAGACUUUACAGUCAUUGGAGGAAUCACCACAGCACUGCUCGACUACAUCAACAGAGGCCAAAAGUAGCAGAAAAUGAAAUGAUUAGGGAAGAUGAAAGAAGAGAGCUAGGAACUAGAAACAAAUUCUAAGGCUUCUGUGAACGGUAGACUCUGCUGAGUAACCCAUGUUCUUAACAGAACAAUAGAGUAAACGCUUGAAACCAGAGCAAGUGGAGGACCAAGAUUAACUCAGAAUACCAUAUUGCAAGCAACACCAUCCAGGGGCUACUUGAAAUUACUACUCAGUAAAAAAGAAGAGAAAAAGAUGAACCAAAUAGACUUCUAUAAAACAUAUUAAAACUGGAUUCUUUGCAAACAAAAAGGCUGAACAGACUCCUUUUGAAGGAGAAACUGGAAGUGUAUUUAAAGGUCCUCAGAAAACAAACAAACAAAACAAUAACAAGAAAACCAAGAAGCAAAAUAAACCAUGAAGUAAA